rnacentral:lncRNA from 1 species
UCAACAGCUGCAAAGGCAAAGGGAUUGGCCUCCUGGGCAGAAAGGGGCCAAAAGGGAGGGCCCUUUGGAGGAGCGUGGCUCUGGUGAGGGGUGGAGGUGAGACCCACACUUAUGCUCUGAUGCCUUGCAACUGAUUUCCUCCAGAUACAAACAGGGCAGCUGAAUGGGGAGAUGGCCUCCCCCAUCAGAGGCAGUUCCCAGCCAGCUUCCUUGGAUGGCCACACAGGAAUCACUCCACACACCAUCCCUGAGAAGCAGAACCACAGGGAAACCUCUUGUCCCUCUGGAAACUCAGUUACAAUCAGUUCAGCACUUGAAGGAAGGAUCUCGAAACAUUACAGCCCGAAGAACAAGAGGGUGAAACUGUGGAGGCCUCAGCAUCUUCUACCCAGAGUGUGCCCAAGCUAUACCCUGGGGCAGCCACCAGCAUCAAGAGCUUCAGGCCAGUAGGGAGCUAGGGGACCUCUUGGUCCCAUUUCCUUGAUAACAUCAGAAAUCUGAAGAACAACUCUCCAGCAAGGCACGGGCUUCAACUGAAGCCCUCUUCCCAAGUCAUACUAAAACAAGAACUGACCCCAGCUGCGGGUGCUUCUCUCUGCCCGCACAUCCCUCUUCCAGCCUGCUCCAUAUGCAGCCCCACACAGUGGGGGUUCCUGUUGGGAUUGUGUGUCUGGGGCAAGUGACCUUACCACCCCAAGCCUCCAUUUCCUCAGAAGUCAAACAGGGAUGGGGAUGCUGACUUUCCGGGGACCCAUACUCCUGAGUCAGUGGCCACAUUACCGGGAUGUAGGCCACACACCAGGCAGGUCCAUGGAUUCACCCACCAUGCCCUGCUCCUAUGGUGUCAUUCUGAAUCCAAGAGCUGUGCUUCACAACUUUCAAGUUUGAGCAGAAAUAGGAUCUACUUCUGCAAGUCUCAGCUGGUCAAGAAACUGUGAUACUGGGAGGUGACUGGGGAGCACAGCGGGCUACAAAGGGAAUACUAGGUCCUGAAGGACUUGCUGUUCUAAAAGAGCUAUCUGGAGCUGGCAGAUCUGGGCUUGGGCUAGAGGAGGAGUUCUGUUUCUUGGGUGGCCCAAGCAUAAGUUACAAGGGAAAGAGACAGGUCUGGGCCUGGUUGGAGGCUGGGGAUGUAUAAUGCUAUCCAGAAGCUCUGGGUCCAAGGAAAGAAUUUUGACCAUACAUGGAAGAUGAAAGCCCACCCACAAAAGGGGACAGUCAAGCACCAAAGUGGUCCAGGAAAGCAGAAGAAUUCAACCAUGGAAGAGCCAGCUCAGGGCUCCCACUCAAGUCCCAAUAUCUUGGACAAACACCUGCCAGGAGGUUGGGACUACCUGCUGGUGGUGUCCUGCUUGAACACCUUCAGUGGCAGGAAGCUCAUUACCAGCCACUCCAGAGCCUUCGACUCUGUUCUCAGACAGCUCCAUUCCUUGGGUAUCCUUGACUUUGACAUAGCGAAGCCAGCACCCUAAAGCUGCCACCCUCGUGCUAGUGCUGCCACCUAGACCCUCAGGGAAAAGUCUCACCUCUUUUCUGCAAGCCACCCAGGAGGCUACUCACUGCCCCUCUCUUCUCUGAGCAAAGCCUCAGUUCCUUCCCUAUACUCCAAAAGCACAGCUUUCUGAUCUUUCCCCACUACAGCUAUUGGAAAUGCAUUCGGUUUGUCAAAGUGAUCGGUUUAAAUAAAGCAUGGCUCCAGAUCACACCGGCUUGAGGUGCUCUGACCUUGGGGAGCCAGGCGGUAAGCA